UACGGAGGGUGCAAGCGUUAAUCGGAAUUACUGGGCGUAAAGCGCGCGUAGGUGGUUUGAUAAGCGAGAUGUGAAAGCCCCGGGCUUAACCUGGGAACGGCAUUUCGAACUGUCAGGCUAGAGUAUGGUAGAGGAGUGUGGAAUUUCCUGUGUAGCGGUGAAAUGCGUAGAUAUAGGAAGGAACACCAGUGGCGAAGGCGGACACUCGUGCCAAUACUGACACUGAGGUGCGAAAAGCGUGGGGAGCAAACAGGAUUAGAUACCCGUAGUCC
rnacentral:rRNA from 1 species